AAAAAGGCUCUUUUCAGAGCCAGGCUUAUCAACUAAUAGGCCCAUU
rfam:Chelonia mydas contig171990, whole genome shotgun sequence.